rnacentral:rRNA from 1 species
GCAUAUCAAUAAGCGGAGGAAAAGAAACUAACAAGGAUUCCCCUAGUAACGGCGAGCGAACCGGGAAGAGCUCAAAUUUGAAAUCUGGCGUCCUUCGGGCGUCCGAGUUGUAAUCUAUAGAGGCGUUUUCCGUGCCGGACCGUGUCCAAGUCCCUUGGAACAGGGUAUCAAAGAGGGUGACAAUCCCGUACUUGACACGACCACCGGUGCUCUGUGAUACGUCUUCUACGAGUCGAGUUGUUUGGGAAUGCAGCUCAAAAUGGGUGGUAAACUCCAUCUAAAGCUAAAUAUUGGUGGGAGACCGAUAGCGAACAAGUACCGUGAGGGAAAGAUGAAAAGCACUUUGGAAAGAGAGUUAAACAGUAUGUGAAAUUGUUGAAAGGGAAACGAUUGAAGUCAGUCGUGUCCAUUGGACUCAGCCGGUUCUGCCGGUCUACUUCCUUUGGACGGGUCAACAUCGGUUCUGGACGGCGGAUAAGGGCGGGAGGAAAGUAGCACCCCUCGGGGUGUGGUAUAGCCUCCUGUCGCAUACGUCGACCGGGACCGAGGAACGCAGCUCGCCUUCAUGGCCGGGGUUCGCCCACGUACGAGCUUAGGAUGUUGACAUAAUGGCUUUAAACGACCCGUCUUGAAACACG